GACGGACGCUGGCGGCGUGCCUAAUACAUGCAAGUAGAACGCUGAAGGAGGAGCUUGCUUCUCUGGAUGAAUUGCGAACGGGUGAGUAACGCGUAGGUAACCUGCCUGGUAGCGGGGGAUAACUAUUGGAAACGAUAGCUAAUACCGCAUAAGAGUAGAUGUUGCAUGACAUUUACUUAAAAGGUGCAAUUGCAUCACUACUAGAUGGACCUGCGUUGUAUUAGCUAGUUGGUGGGGUAACGGCUCACCAAGGCGACGAUACAUAGCCGACCUGAGAGGGUGAUCGGCCACACUGGGACUGAGACACGGCCCAGACUCCUACGGGAGGCAGCAGUAGGGAAUCUUCGGCAAUGGACGGAAGUCUGACCGAGCAACGCCGCGUGAGUGAAGAAGGUUUUCGGAUCGUAAAGCUCUGUUGUAAGAGAAGAACGAGUGUGAGAGUGGAAAGUUCACACCGUGGCGGUAUCUUACCAGAAAGGGACGGCUAACUACGUG
rnacentral:rRNA from 1 species